ACUGCUCAGUAACACGUAGCUAACCUGCCCUAAUGUCUGUGAUACCCUCGGGAAACUGAGGUUAAUAACGGAUGGAUGAUUUUUUCUGGAAUGAUUAAUCGUCGAAAGUUAACGUUAGGAUGGGGCUGCGGCUGAUUAGGUAGUCGGCGGGGUAAAAGCCCACCAAGCCAAUGAUCAGUAAGGGCCUUUAGCGAGGGGGCCCUGAGAGGGAGUCUGAGACACAACUCCCAGCCCUACGGGGUGCAGCAGGUAGGAAACUUCUGCAAUACACGAAAGUGUGACAGAGCAAGCCAGAGUGUUUUUCUAUAUAAUAGAAAAUCUUUUGCGGGAUGUAAAAAGUCCCGUGAAUAAGGACCGGGCAAGACUGGUGCCAGCCGCCGCGGUAAUCCCAGCGGUCCAAGUCGCAGCCACAAUUAUUGGGUCUAAAAUAUCCGUAGCUUGCUUUGCAAGUCUCUUGUGAAAUCGGGCAUCUCAAGUGUCCGGCGUGCAAGAGAUACUGCUUAGCUAGAGACCGGGAGACGUAAGAAGUACGUCAAGAGUAGCGGUAAAAUGCUCUGAUCCUUGACGGAUUAACAACAGCGAAGGCAUCUUUACGAGAACGGAUCUGACAGUGAGGGAUGAAGGCUAGGGGCGCAAAGUGGAUUAGAUGCCCAUGUAGUCCUAGCAGUAAACCCUGCACACUAAACAUUGGGGCCUCUUCGAGAGGUUUCAGUGCUGAAGGGGAGCCGGAGAGUGUGCUACCUGGGAAGUAUAGCCGCAAGGCCGAAACUUAAAGGAAUUGGCGGGGGAGCAC
rnacentral:rRNA from 1 species